AAUAACUACAUGUAGAAGUUAAAAGGUUUUGUUAAACUUACUUGCUUAUUAGAUCUUUGUCAGACAUGAUAUUGCUGUUUAGUCUGUGGCUCAUUUCUCUCUCUACAGGUGAUGUCUCUAGUGAGGGAAUAGCACCAAUCUCUUCGGAUAAAUUUGUUUCAGAAGGUGAUUCAGUUACUUUGUCCUGUAAUUAUAAUGGAUCGUUUGCUACAGAUACUCUUCUGUGGUAUCGUCAGUACUCAUCAUCCAGACCAGAGUUUAUGUUUCUGAUCAAUGAAGCUAAUUUUAAGCAGCCGGCUGAUCCUAUAAUUCCUGGAGUAUCUGCUAAACUCAAUGAAGAGAAAACCUGUGUGGAUCUGGAGAUCUCCAGCACUGCAUUAACUGAUUCUGCUCUGUACUACUGCGCCCUGCAGCCCACAGUGACAGAAAACACAAAAGUGCUGCACACAAAAUGA